UUGAACGAAAUGAUGUGAAUUAAUUAAGUACCACAAAUAAAAUUCGUGUAAUUUUGUGACGAGUGUUCACAUUAGACAAAUUCUUUCGGAUGAAAAUGACUAAUGAAAAAGCAGUCUACAAUUCUACAGAUAUGCGUGACCGCGUGGAUGAAAAUCAUGCACUGUGGAAAAUUUUACGCUAUGCCGAUAAUCGAUUAAUUCACGAUACCUCGUAAAGGCUUUGUCCGCUAUUUUCUAAAUAUACACACCGAUAUGUUUUUAUAUUACUUUAUUACUCUAUUGAUAUCCAUCACUUUCACAAUGACAAAUGCACAUCGACCGUAGGAUAGAUAUUAUCCUAUUAUUUUGUUUGCGUUCCACUUCGUUCUCGUGUGUGUAGAAAAUUCCACUGAUAUGUAUCUUCGAACGAACGAACGAACGAAUGUCGUCUGUUGUGGUCUGCGAACCCACCCCGGUUACCAUGGAACCAUCGCUCCGC